rnacentral:rRNA from 1 species
GCCCCGGUAAACGGCGGCCGUAACUAUAACGGUCCUAAGGUAGCGAAAUUCCUUGUCGGGUAAGUUCCGACCUGCACGAAUGGCGUAAUGAUGGCCAGGCUGUCUCCACCCGAGACUCAGUGAAAUUGAACUCGCUGUGAAGAUGCAGUGUACCCGCGGCAAGACGGAAAGACCCCGUGAACCUUUACUAUAGCUUGACACUGAACAUUGAGCCUUGAUGUGUAGGAUAGGUGGGAGGCUUUGAAGUGUGGACGCCAGUCUGCAUGGAGCCGACCUUGAAAUACCACCCUUUAAUGUUUGAUGUUCUAACGUGGACCCGUAAUCCGGGUUGCGGACAGUGUCUGGUGGGUAGUUUGACUGGGGCGGUCUCCUCCUAAAGAGUAACGGAGGAGCACGAAGGUUGGCUAAUCCUGGUCGGACAUCAGGAGGUUAGUGCAAUGGCAUAAGCCAGCUUGACUGCGAGCGUGACGGCGCGAGCAGGUGCGAAAGCAGGUCAUAGUGAUCCGGUGGUUCUGAAUGGAAGGGCCAUCGCUCAACGGAUAAAAGGUACUCCGGGGAUAACAGGCUGAUACCGCCCAAGAGUUCAUAUCGACGGCGGUGUUUGGCACCUCGAUGUCGGCUCAUCACAUCCUGGGGCUGAAGUAGGUCCCAAGGGUAUGGCUGUUCGCCAUUUAAAGUGGUACGCGAGCUGGGUUUAGAACGUCGUGAGACAGUUCGGUCCCUAUCUGCCGUGGGCGCUGGAGAACUGAGGGGGGCUGCUCCUAGUACGAGAGGACCGGAGUGGACGCAUCACUGGUGUUCGGGUUGUCAUGCCAAUGGCACUGCCCGGUAGCUAAAUGCGGAAGAGAUAAGUGCUGAAAGCAUCUAAGCACGAAACUUGCCCCGAGAUGAGUUCUCCCUGAGACUUAG